rnacentral:rRNA from 1 species
UACGGAGGGUGCGAGCGUUGUCCGGAAUCACUGGGCGUAAAGGGCGCGUAGGCGGCGCGGGAAGUCCGUGGUGAAAGCCCGAGGCUCAACUUCGGGUCGGCCAUGGAUACUCCUGGGCUCGAGCACUGUAGAGGCAGGUGGAAUGCCGGGUGUAGCGGUGGAAUGCGUAGAUAUCGGGAGGAACACCUGCGGUGUAGACGGCUUUCUGGACCAUUGUUGACGCUGAGACACGAAAGCGUGGGUAGCAAACAGG